GACGAACGCUGGCGGCGUGCUUAACACAUGCAAGUCGAACGGAAAGGCCCUGCUUUUGUGGGGUGCUCGAGUGGCGAACGGGUGAGUAACACGUGAGUAACCUGCCCUUGACUUUGGGAUAACUUCAGGAAACUGGGGUUAAUACCGGACAGGAGCUCCUGCUGCAUGGUGGGGGUUGGAAAGUUUGGGCGGUUGGGGAUGGACCCCGGGCUUAUCGGCUUGUUGGUGGGGUUGUGCCUUACCCAGGCUUUGACGGGUAGCCGGCCUGGGGGGGGGACCGGCCAACUUGGGACGGGAUAAGGAGCAGAAUCCCUAGUGGGGGAGGAGGGGCUGAAAUUGUACAAAGGGGGGGAAGCCGAUGGCAGAAACGCCGGGGUGGGGAGGACGGCCUUCGGGUGUAAAACCCUUUUAGCCGGGGAGGAAGUUGUGGUGACGGUAAUUGGAAAAGAAGCACCGGCUAACUACGUG
rnacentral:rRNA from 1 species